rnacentral:rRNA from 1 species
UCCUCGACCUCUGAUGGCUUCUACAUCUCCCAAGAAAAAUACAUUCAGGACCUUCUUGCUCGUGCUGCUCUAGGUGAUGAGCGCACCGUUGUGACUCCAAUGGAGCUCAACGUUCAGCUUCGUGCCUCUGAUGGUGACCCUCUCCCUAAUCCCACUCGCUAUCGUCACCUUGUUGGCAGUCUUGUCUACCUUGCUGUUACGCGUCCUGACAUCUCCUAUCCCGUCCACAUUCUGAGUCAGUUCAUUUCAGCCCCCACCUCAGUCCACUAUAGUCAUCUCCUCCGUGUCCUACGAUAUCUUCGUGGCAUGAUCUCUCAGCGUCUUUUCUUUCCCCGCUCCCAGCUCUCUUGA